rnacentral:rRNA from 1 species
UACGUAGGGGGCUAGCGUUGCUCGGAAUCACUGGGCGUAAAGGGUGCGUAGGCGGGUCUUUAAGUCAGGGGUGAAAUCCCGGAGCUCAACUCCAGAACUGCCUUUGAUACUGAAGAUCUUGAGUUCGGGAGAGGUGAGUGGAACUGCGAGUGUAGAGGUGAAAUUCGUAGAUAUUCGCAAGAACACCAGUGGCGAAGGCGGCUCACUGGCCCGAUACUGACGCUGAGGCACGAAAGCGUGGGGAGCAAACAGG